rnacentral:rRNA from 1 species
CCUACGGGUGGCAGCAGUAGGGAAUCUUUCACAAUGGGCGAAAGCCUGAUGGAGCAACGCCGCGUGCAGGAUGAAGGCCUUCGGGUUGUAAACUGCUUUUAUAAGCGAGAAAUAUGAUGGUAACUUAUGAAUAAGGAUCGGCUAACUACGUGCCAGCAGCCGCGGUCAUACGUAGGAUCCGAGCAUUAUCCGGAGUGACUGGGUGUAAAGAGUUGCGUAGGUGGCAUAAUAAGUAGCUAGUGAAAGCUGGUGGCUCAACCAUUCAGACUAUUAGCUAAACUGUUAAGCUCGAGACCGUUAGGGGUAACUGGAAUUUCUAGUGUAGGAGUGAAAUCCGUAGAUAUUAGAAGGAACACCAAUAGCGUAGGCAGGUUGCUGGGACGGUUCUGACACUAAGGCACGAAAGCGUAGGGAGCAAAUGGGAUUAGAUACCCCUGUAGUC